AUUGAACGCUGGCGGCAGGCCUAACACAUGCAAGUCGAGCGAGUGGGGGACGGGUGAGAAAUGUCUGGGCAACUGCCUGAGGGAGGGGGAUAACUUCUGGAAAAGGUAUCUAAACCCGCAUAACAUCAGAUGUGCCCAGAUGGUAUGAGCUUGUUGGUAGGGUAAGGGCUCACCAAGGAGACGAGCCCUAGCUGGUCUGAGAGGAUGACCAGCAACCCUGGAACUUAGAAACGCUCCAGCCUCCUACGGGUGGCAGCAGUGGGGAAUAUUGCACAAUGGGCGCAAGCCUGAUGCAGCCAGGCCGCUUGUAUGAAGGAGGCCUUCUGGUUGUAAAGUACUUUCAGCGGGGAGGCGUUACCCGCAGAAGAAGCACCGGCUAACUCCGUGCCAGCAGCCGCGGUAAUAC
rnacentral:rRNA from 1 species